GGUCUGUUAGCUCAGUUGGUAGAGCAUUUGCUCGACAAGCAAGGGGUCAGCGGUUCGAGUCCGUUACAGACCA
rnacentral:tRNA from 1 species